AUUGAACGCUGGCGGCAUGCUUUACACAUGCAAGUCGAACGGCAGCGCGGGGCAACCUGGCGGCGAGUGGCGAACGGGUGAGUAAUAUAUCGGAACGUACCCAGAAGUGGGGGAUAACGUAGCGAAAGUUACGCUAAUGCCGCAUACGAUCUACGGAUGAAAGUGGGGGACCUUCGGGCCUCAUGCUUUUGGAGCGGCCGAUAUCUGAUUAGCUAGUUGGUGAGGUAAAGGCUCACCAAGGCGACGAUCAGUAGCUGGUCUGAGAGGACGACCAGCCACACUGGGACUGAGACACAGCCCAGACUCCUACGGGAGGCAGCAGUGGGGAAUUUUGGACAAUGGGCGCAAGCCUGAUCCAGCAAUGCCGCGUGAGUGAAGAAGGCCUUCGGGUUGUAAAGCUCUUUUGUCAGGGAAGAAACGGCCGAGGAUAAUACCUUCGGCUAAUGACGGUACCUGAAGAAUAAGCACCGGCUAACUACGUGCCAGCCGCCGCGGUAA
rnacentral:rRNA from 1 species